UACGUACUCCCUCUGUCCGGAAAUACUUGUCACCAAAAUGAAUAAAAGAGGAUGUAUCUAGAUGUAUUUUAGUUCUAGAUACAUCCCUUUCUGUUCAUUCUGAUGACAAGUAUUUUCGGACGGAGGGAGUAGAAG
rnacentral:pre_miRNA from 1 species